AACGAACGCUGGCGGCAUGCCUAACACAUGCAAGUCGAACGAGACCUUCGGGUCUAGUGGCGCACGGGUGCGUAACGCGUGGGAACCUGCCUUUAGGUUCGGAAUAACUCAGAGAAAUUUGAGCUAAUACCGGAUAAAUGUCUUCGGACCAAAGAUUUAUCGCCUUUAGAUGGGCCCGCGUUGGAUUAGCUAGUUGGUGGGGUAAAGCCUACCAAGGCGACGAUCCAUAGCUGGUCUGAGAGGAUGAUCAGCCACACUGGGACUGAGACACGGCCCAGACUCCUACGGGAGCAGCAGUGGGGAAUAUUGGACAAUGGGCGAAAGCCUGAUCCAGCAAUGCCGCGUGAGUGAUGAAGGCUUAGGUGUAAGCUCUUUACCCGAGAUGAUAAUGACAGUAUCGGAGAAUAAGAC
rnacentral:rRNA from 1 species